CAGUGGCACACUGGGGCAGGACUUCAAACGCCAGAUAGAAAAACUGGGGUUAAUUGUUGCAACAGCCGGGGAAGCUGACAAUCAUUUUAUUGCAGGAUACUGACUACCAGGAAAAACUUUGACCUUGUGGACCUGGCAGAUGAAGACUGUUGCUGUCCUCAUACCUCUGUCUCCAAUGCUGUGGAGACCCCCGCAGCCUGGGAUGGCUAUCUGAUUUCUACUUGGCUGACAGACACAUUCAAGCACCAGCUGCUGACUACAACCUACUGCAAACAGUUGUGAACUCUGGACUUGUUGAAAGCUGAUAUGGACCAAUUCAGCCAAUAUGAUUGUUCCCUGUCUCUACAGCUGUGUCAAAUGACCAUAUGCUUCUGAUGAAUGCCCCCUUUUCCAGCCUUUGACUGGUCUUUUAGCCUUCAUGGUCCUUGACAACAACACUCCAAUAUCAGCUGGAAGUAAUUACAGAAGAGAAUAUGUCAUCCUGUGUCCCCUGCCCUUAAUAGGCUGAAAUGCUGAGUCAAAGGGAAACUCCCUAUACUCUAGGAAUGACCCCAUUUAAGAUCACGUAUGUCAGGCCACAAUCCAUUCUGCCUAACCUCAGGGCAGAACUACUAGCUGAAUUUGAUGGCCAAGGAUUUCUUUCCUCCCUACAAGUUCUGUCUUAGGUACAGAAACAACUUUGCCCUCAAUUGUAUGCAGUCUAUGAGAAGGCACCACCUCAUGUGUCCCACAGUUCUGGCUAGGGGACCUGGACCUGAUGAUCAUCAAGAGGCACAGGAAAGAAACCUUGGAGCCUGGUUUGACCAACUCUCAAAUUGGAUUUGGUCCCCACUUGGAUUCACCAUUCCCACAUGUGAAGCCUAUGGUCCCACAUGCUGAUCCUGAGGACUACACUCCAGAGGAAGCCAGCUCUGGACUUUGGAGGUCCAAUGUACACCCACAGGACCCUCUAAAACUGAGAGUCCAGAAAGUCACCCACCUAGCUUAAUGAUGGGCUUGUCCCUAUGCUUCCUUAGCACAUGCCUGCCAGGGCUUUCCAGUCCGGUCACCAUGGGGCACAACAACUCCCACCUACCCUUUAAUUUCACAUGGAAAAUCAUCAAUGCUGGCUCAGGAAAGUUCUUGAUCCACACUUCACAUGCAGCCCCUUUAGGGACCUGGUUUCUUGAUCUAUAGCUUGAUUUGUGAGUGUUUUAUGGUUGGAUUAAGGUAUCUGGUACUAAAUUGCAAGAAGUCACCCAUUUUUAUGUUUGCCCUGGACAUGAUAGAGAUAGGGCCCAGAUAGAAACGUAUGGGGAAAAUAGCGGCUAUUUCUAUACUUCAUGGGUCACACCUGAUCAAAGGCCCCCCAAAAUGGGAACUUUACAAGCCUAUAAACUUAGAAAAAAAGCAUCUCAAGGAUAUGAGAUGAUGUACUACUCAAGGGGAGAAUGAGAGGGCUGAGGGGUCAGACCAGAGCUAUGACAGGUUUGUAGUAGCCCUGCCAGGGACCAGGCCUUAGUUUCACUUUACCGGGACUGUCUGGAACUGAGCAAGUGGUUCUAGGGAAGACCACAACUCAGGGGCAGCCAAUCAGCAGGUGCCCCACAGCCUUCUGCUGACUCAACAGGUACCCCAAAGCCCCUUCUGCUGGCUCAGCAGAUGCCCCCGUCAACAAGCCUCUAACCACUACAGCCUCCAAUCAUUCAGCUUCCAGACUAAUCUUUCCUUCACCAACCAGCACCAGAUUAAUCCCUCCUCCAUGGGAUUCCCCUCACUCUUAUUACAAGGAGCUUGAAACCUCCCUUUGGGGUUGCAAUUUGCCACCCCAACCAGUGGGGAACAAUAAAUGCUCUUGCUAAAUUGUG